rnacentral:lncRNA from 1 species
GCUCAUCAAGUUCAAGCGACUCAGUGUCGGGACACUCGGUAUCGUUAUCGAGUCGCGUAGCAGAAUAAAACUAAUAAGCGGAAAGCAUGUUCGGUCAAGGUAACCUUUGAAAGUGAUAGACAUUACAAGGUGUUAUACAUAGUAAUAUAUAUCUGAUUGACAUUGAAAGUGCGUCUAGUCAUAGCAUAUCAUGUUUAGUUGCAAAAGAAGAAAAUCCUUCGCUACGACAUAAAAGGGUUGCGCACAU